UACGUAGGGGGCAAGCGUUGUCCGGAUUUAUUGGGCGUAAAGAGCGUGUAGGCGGCUAGGUAGGUCCGUUGUGAAAACUCGAGGCUCAACCUCGAGACGCCGAUGGAAACCAUUUGGCUAGAGUCCGGAAGAGGAGAGUGGAAUUCCUGGUGUAGCGGUGAAAUGCGCAGAUAUCAGGAAGAACACCCGUGGCUAAGGCGGCUCUCUAGUACGGUACUGACGCUGAGGCACGAAAGCGUGGGGAGCAAACAGG
rnacentral:rRNA from 1 species